GACGAACGCUGGCGGCGUGCUUAACACAUGCAAGUCGAACGGAAAGGCCCUGCUUUUGUGGGGUGCUCGAGUGGCGAACGGGUGAGUAACACGUGAGUAACCUGCCCUUGACUUUGGGAUAACUUCAGGAAACUGGGGCUAAUACCGGAUAGGAGCUCCUGCUGCAUGGUGGGGGUUGGAACGUUUCGGCGGUUGGGGAUGGACUCGCGGCUUAUCAGCUUGUUGGUGGGGUAGUGGCUUACCAAGGCUUUGACGGGUAGCCGGCCUGAGAGGGUGACCAGGCACAUUGGGACUGAGAUACGGACCAGACUCCUACGGGAGGCAGCAGUGGGGAAUAUUGCACAAUGGGCGGAAGCCUGAUGCAGCGACGCCGCGGGCGGGAAGACGGCCUUCGGGUUGUAAACCGCUUUCGCCUGUGACGAAGCGUGAGUGACGGUAAUGGGUAAAGAAGCACCGGCUAACUACGUG
rnacentral:rRNA from 1 species